GUGGGUGGGAUUGCUGUUGCCGCUUCAUUCGCUGUUCUCCUUCUGGCUCUUUUUCUCUGGGUGAUUCGUAAAAAAAGAGCAGGCAACAGAAGAGGGACUGGUGACUCUGUGGAGCAGACAGAUGAUGUGACUUAUACUGAAGUCACUGCGUACAGUAAAAAACGAGGCAAAAAGAACAAGGUUCGCUGUGAUGAUAGAGUGACGUAUGCUUCCAUCAGAGGAGCAAAAGCUGGAGCUCAGGAGAACUGCAGUGAACUUUAUGCCUCUGUGAACAAGAACACAUCAGUCAAAUAAUUAUACAAAACACACAUGAGCAGAGCAAUAUCAAUCUAAUAUAACUAAUGGGUUCAUUCAUUGUUAAUACUUUCAAUGUCUUUUACAUGUUAACAAACAAAUUGUAAUGGAUUGUUGUCUUUUGUCCUCUUGGUGUUCUGGCUUUGAG